UCCGCCCCUGCACCAGGUUAUCUUCUGAGUCAAUAGACUGAAAGGAAACAAAGAUGGAAGGAUUCUUGCCUUCAAUACCUAGCACUACAAUUUAAAUCAACUUUCAACGUGCACUAACAGGACUUCGUGUCUGGAGGACACACAAACCUGUGUCUCCUCCUCUGCUGAUGCUUCUGCUGCACUCUCAUCUCCUGUCAUAUCGACUUGGCUUGGAGGUACAUACCCAUUUGCCUAAAAGAGGAAAUAAAGCUUUCACCAACAGUAUA